rnacentral:rRNA from 1 species
AGUGAACGCUGGCGGUAGGCCUAACACAUGCAAGUCGAACGGCAGCACAGUAAGAGCUUGCUCUUACGGGUGGCGAGUGGCGGACGGGUGAGGAAUACAUCGGAAUCUACUUUUUCGUGGGGGAUAACGUAGGGGAACUUACGCUAAUACCGCAUACGACCUACGGGUGAAAGCAGGGGAUCUUCGGACCUUGCGCGAUUGAAUGAGCCGAUGUCGGAUUAGCUAGUUGGCGGGGUAAAGGCCCACCAAGGCGACGAUCCGUAGCUGGUCUGAGAGGAUGAUCAGCCACACUGGAACUGAGACACGGUCCAGACUCCUACGGGAGGCAGCAGUGGGGAAUAUUGGACAAUGGGCGCAAGCCUGAUCCAGCCAUACCGCGUGUGUGAAGAAGGCCUUCGGGUUGUAAAGCCCUUUUGUUGGGAAAGAAAAGCAGCAGGUUAAUACCCCGCUGUUCUGACGUUACCCAAAGAAUAAGCACCGGCUAACUUCGUG